AUGCGACAGCCACGACCACUGCGAGCUGCUGGUGCAGCAUCCAACCUGCCCCCAUGCGCCUCCAUCCCUCAAUCUCCCAGAUGCGUCGUCGCGAACUCUUUAUUCCCCAUCGCUGCCUCCUCCAACUCCUUUCAUGGCUCUGGAAAAUCACUGAUCAGUUCAGGUCGCCCGUGGAGUUUUAGAUAUAUGCAAAAUCGGAUUAGAGCACCAUGCUCUCACCCAAAAUUUUGCUAA
rnacentral:rRNA from 1 species